rnacentral:misc_RNA from 1 species
UAGAAAUGAUGAUGAUGAACCAGUAAAGUCUGAUCAAGCAUGGAUAACCUCAUUGGUGGCUUCUGGCUGUGUUACUGAGAAGAAUCAUCAACUGAAGAAGUUCAGAUGAAACCUUUCAAUCUAUUUAACAUAGUUUAUCCUUUCUGCUUUAGAACGAUUCUUUCUGUUCCAAUAUCAAUAGUUGGUGUGAGCAUACAUUUCAUCUUAGUUCCAUCCUUCUCUUUUAUCUCCG